rnacentral:rRNA from 1 species
UACGUAAAAUGCAAGCGUUAAUCGGAAUUACUAAACGUAAAGCGUGCGCAGACAGUUCUAUAAGACAGAUGUGAAAUCCCCAGGCUCAACCUAGGAACUGCGAUGGAGACUGCAAGGCUAGAAUCUGGCAGAGGGGGGUAGAAUUCCACGUGUAGCAGUGAAAUGCGUAGAGAUGUGGAGGAACACCGAUGGCGAAGGCAGCCCCCUGGGUCAAGAUUGACGCUCAUGCACGAAAGCGUGGGGAGCAAACAGG